rnacentral:rRNA from 1 species
AGCGAACGUUUGCGGCGGGCCUAACACAUGCAAGUCGAACGGGUUGGCAACAACCAGUGGCGCACGGGUGCGUAACACGUGGGUAAUCUACCCUCAAGUUCGGGAUAACGAUCUGAAAGGAUCGCUAAUACCGGAUGUGUUCCGAAAGGAAGAAAGACCCGCAAGGGUCGCUAGAGGACGAGCCUGCGGCCCAUCAGCUAGUUGGUGAGGUAAUGGCUCACCAAGGCUAAGACGGGUAGCUGGUCUGAGAGGAUGAUCAGUCACACUGGAACUGAGACACGGUCCAGACUCCUACGGGAGGCAGCAGUGGGGAAUAUUGCGCAAUGGGCGAAAGCCUGACGCAGCCACGCCGCGUGAGCGAUGAAGGCCUCGGUCGUAAGACGUCUGUGGAGAGGGACGG